rnacentral:lncRNA from 1 species
AAAAAAUCAAGGGAAUAGAUCAGAUUUUUGAUUUAUUGAAGGUUAUCAUUAUUCCAUAAAUAGAGGUGACCAGCAGCUGAGAAGGGGGUGGAAAAACAGAGAGAAAAAAUAACAGAGGGGCGUGGCACUCGAGCAAGGAAAAAGUCUCUAAUUGGCCCAGCAAAAUCCGAUCAAGCAGCUGGAGUAGCAGCCAAAAAAAUUUCAGCUAAUCGAGAGGAGGGAAGCUCGACGAUUUGAAGAAUUUUCCUUUCCAAAGAUUCAGUUUGUAAUUCAUGUUGUUACAAUUGAUUUUUGUUUUGUUUUACUUGCUAUGAGUGGCUAUAUUACUUAAGCUUAGUUAGACACUUA